rnacentral:tRNA from 1 species
GCCCUUGUGGCACAAUAGUUAAGGACUUGACUGCUAACCAAAAGGCUGAUGGUUCGAACCCAUCCAGCAGCU